rnacentral:lncRNA from 1 species
CUACAUAGAUAAAGAUCAAUAACUCCGAUCUUGAAUUGAAGGAUCCGAUCAUCCUUUUUUAUGACGUCGUUGGAUUUUGACCGUUCAUUUUAUGCCCACUUGAUUGACUUUAUUAUGAUUUCGAAAAUUUACGAAAUUUAUUUUCUAGAAGUUUCAAAUACUCUAGAUCAUAUUUAACGGAGUGGAUCGUUGAUUCGGAAGCUCCAUCAUUGAAAACAAAUUAUGAGUACGAGGGCUCCAAUACUCAUAAUAGUAUAGUAGCCAUGGCCUAUAUAUAUAUAUAUAUAUAUAUAUAUAUAUAUAUAUAUAGAAUUAUGCUACUAUGCUAUUAAUAGUACCAAGCCCUUGGUACUAUUGAGUUUUCGGUCGUUGGAUGAAAAGAUGUGCGGUUAGGAUGAUAGUAGUCCCCGGUUAAAUUGAUAGUGGUCCCCUAGGGUUGAGUGGGUGGUUAAUUUAAUAGUAUAAUCUAACGGGUGAAAAUAAUCAAAAGGUAGAUCUAACGGUAGAAAACUCAAUAGUACAAAGGGCUUGGUACUAUCGAUAGUAUAGUAGCCGGACUAUAUAUAUAUAUAAAGCAGGGCUGCUGUGCUCUCAGGAGCACGGAGGCCUCCGUGCUCCUGAGCCGUUUUCGAUGAUGGAGUUUCCGAAUCGACGAUCGGUUUCGUUAAACUUGAUCUAGCGUAUUUGAAGUUUCUAGAAAAUAAUUUUUACGAUUUUUCGAUAUCAUUUAAGUAGCAAUCGAAAGGGUUCAAAAUCAAUAAUUUUUAACGGCUGAAAAUAAAAAUCCUAUAAAAAGUGGUGAUAUAGCACUAAAAUUUUCGAUCAGGAAUAUUGAUUUUGUUGUAGAUAGUAUAAAGAAUUUUGUAUCAAAAUUUCAUCUGAUUUGAAUACUUCUACACCGUUAAACUUGAAAACAGCAGAUAUCAACCAUCAAAAAUUAUGGAUUUUGAAUCCUUUCGAUCAUUAGGUAAAUGAUACCAAAAAAUCGCAAAAAUUAUUUUCUAGAAACUUCAAAUGCGCUAGAUCAAGUCUAACGGAGCCGAUCAUCGAUUCGAAAAUUCCAUCAUUGAAAACGGCUCAGGAGCACGGAGGCCUCUGUGCUCCUGAGAGCACAGCAGCCCUACUAU